rnacentral:rRNA from 1 species
CCGCCGGUGUUGUUGUGAGAAGUUCAUUAAACCUUAUCAUUUAGAGGAAGGAGAAGUCGUAACAAGGUUUCCGUAGGUGAACCUGCGGAAGGAUCAUUGAACACACGAUCUCGGAAAAACCCUGCGAAUCGUUCUGGUUACCUCGAGGGAUCGUGCUGGGAGGCACGAUCGUCGGUCCCGGAGUCGGGGAUUCAUGCGCGUCCGCCUUGAUCCUCCUGUUGGUGCGUGCUGGGAAAAAAUACGUCUCCGGUGUACCGUCGGAACACUCCUCGGCACGCGUGGUCUCGUGCUCGCUCGCAUGCGUGAUCGGGAGGGUCUCUGAUCCUCUCGAUCCUGCCUGCUGCGCUCGAAGGUCGGGAGUGGGUUCCCCUCCUCCGAGGGGAGACGAGGGAGUUCUCUCUCUUUGGAGGCUCUCUUCUCUCCCUUCGGUGCCCCCUUUUUUUCUCCCACUAGGAACCUGGUGAAACGAGUUUUGAUGGACUGAGAUGGGCGGAGGGGGAUUCGUGCCCGUCUCGGGGCGGAUCCUCCGAGUCCCAAGGAAAGCGACAAAACGCAAAUGACUCUCAGCAACGGAUAUCUUGGCUCUUGCAACGAUGAAGAACGCAGCGAAUGCGAUACCUAGUGUGAAUUGCAGAAUUCCGCGAAUCAUUGAGUUUUUGAACGCAAGUUGCGCCCGAGGCUCGUUCCGAGGGCAUGCCUGCCUGAGCGUCCGCUCCGACCCACCCACAAAGUCUAUCCUCCUCCUCCUCCUCCUCCUCUACAUGGGGAGGAGGAUCAAGGGGAAGUUCAGAGUGCGUGUGGAAUUGGUCGUCCGGGAACCCGGUCGUCUCCCCCUGCGGUGAUGGUCGAAGGAUUCGCGGUUGGCUGAAAACUGGGAACCGUCCGUCGAAGCGCGCGCAGUGGGCAAGGGUGCGUCGCGAGAAGGUGCUCGUCCUCUCCUCGUCCUCGACGGGAGUCGGACGUUUGUGACAAGAGCGUCGUACCUCCCAUGCGGAGUUUGGACUCGGCGGACUGGUGGGAUACCAAAUAUGGGAACGGGAAGGCUUGGGCCCGUCUUCUCAGCUGCCCCUCCUCGGAUCUGAGGGGGGCGUGCUGGGAGACACCCAGCCCGAGCGUGAUGUUGUUCGGACCUCAGAUCAGACAAGACCACCCGCUGAGUUUAAGCAUAUCACUAAGCGGAGGAGAAGAAACUAACAAGG